CCUGCAUUCCUUGCCGGGAGGAACUACAACUACGACGGCCUGGCUGCAUCAGGGCGCCAAAGGCUGUGGAGAUCAGACUCCCCUACCGAUUCCCCAUGCAGGCGCCUGGAUGAGGACGUGCAGGAGGUAUUGAGUUCCUUCCUCAGGCAUGUCUCACCUCGACUGAUCCUUCUCAAAAACAGCAUUUGAAACCGGCUCCCGAGACUCUUAGGACAAGUCCUCCCUUCCGGCUGCUGCUGGGUUGCCAGCCCCAUCAUGUCCGAGCUACUGCUUUCUGCCUACUGCUGGAAGUUCAGUCACUGGACGCUUUCGGCAGGAAUCUACCAGGCCAGGCCCAAGGUGCUGACGAUUGGUCAUCUCCACUCCCUCACUUUCCAACAGUGAAGACAAAAGGAAAAUCAACAAAACCCUCCCGGAAUGGGAUUUUCAGAGCUUUCCAAUGGCUCCACAAGGGAAUCCUCAGAAAACCCGCACUGCCUGCCAGCUCCCGAAGAGGGGGGCCGGCCAGCCUGCUGGAUUUCGGCCUGUUCACAAAUG